rnacentral:rRNA from 1 species
UACGUAGGGGGCUAGCGUUGUCCGGAUUUAUUGGGCGUAAAGAGCGUGUAGGCGGCCAGGUAGGUCCGUUGUGAAAACUCGAGGCUCAACCUCGAGACGUCGGCGGAAACCCUCUGGCUAGAGUUCGGUAGGGGAGACUGGAAUUCCUGGUGUAGCGGUGAAAUGCGCAGAUAUCAGGAGGAACACCGGUGGCGAAGGCGGGUCUCUGGGCCGAAACUGACGCUGAGGAGCGAAAGCGUGGGGAGCAAACAGG